CAGAAAAUAGUGUAAUAUGAGCACUUUAAAUUUUAAAGAGGACAAACUAGAGUGUGAUAGACAGUGCUUCAAGUGAUAAUAAGCACUCCCCUCAUUUUUUUUUCCAUAAGAGAAUUAAGUUUUUUGUGAAAAAUGUUAAAUGAACAUGUCCCAAGACUGAGGAAUUACACUGACUGAUGAUGAUGUUUUGACAGUUUAAUGGCGGUAUCGGGUGGAACUAAGAAAAUUAUGCCAUCGCUCCUCCCCAUAAUCCUGGUGGAAAUAUUCUUUAAAAUUAUAUGAAAAUGGAACUGUUAAAACGCUUUUUUUUCUCAUUGUUUUUACUGUUGGAGCUUUAUCAAACAAAGACAAUUUCUUUCAGACAUUGCGGCGGGCUGCGUGAGCUUGCCUUCUGGACGUACUUUUUAAAGCAAUAAGGAGAAAACUACACGAAGGAUUGAACAGUUUAACAUUUUUUUCCAUAAAAAUGUAAAAAAAAAAUGCACAUUUACUUAUUUUUUAUGCAAUGUAAAGGAUUGUAAAGGACUAUUUUUAAGUGCCAUGUUUGUCCGGAUCAGCUUGUCUUUAAUGUGUGUGUUUUUGUCUAUACUAUUUUCAUUUUUGUAUCUGGAGAAAAAAUGUGUAGCUAGAAUCUCAAACUCAAACAAUCUCAACUCAAUCAAAGUCUGACUACUGGCUAUUGUUAGGCGCCACAUUGGUUUGUUUCAUUUUAAAGGUGCAUUUAAACAUGUCAAAAGACACUUAUCUAAAGAAGCUAAUACACAACUUAUCAACAACCAUAUACGAAUUACAUUUAACAGACAAGUUGAUUUUAAAGAACACAUAUUAUGCAAAACCAUAGACUGUAUAAAAAAGUGGACUAAGUGAGUGUGAUGUCACCCAAACAUUUUUUAAUAGAAAGGUUAGACAUGUCCAUUUUUAUCUACGCUCAAUGUGCCAAACUGACUUUUUGGAGCUUUUAACUUAACCAUCUUAUAAAGUUGUCUCCUCUUCAAAAACAAACCUAAAGUUGCAUUUUGCUUCAUUCACGCUUGUUUCAUGAAUCUGUUAAUCCAAAGUCAUCCCCUCUGAGCCCCAUAAAUGCUCCGUUUGCAUUUUGCCUGAAUUGUUGCAUCACAGGUAAAAAUCUCAACUUCUCCUGCCGUUUUUUAAGUCCACAAACCAUCAUAGGCAGAGGGAGCUCCAAUGUCUAAAUGCCUCAUGGGAAACAGAGGUGUAGUUUAUAAGUUGAGAUUGUUUUACAUAUUUAGAUGAUAUUUUAAGUCAGAAAAUGUGAAAUACGUAUCCCAUGGUAACCAAAAGCAUGUUUAAAGGGGAAGUAAAGCUACAAAAAUGCAUAAUAUGUGUUCUUUAACUUAUCUAUUACUCUGUUACUAUGGCGUUACUAUGGCGUCUACCCUUGAAUGUUCAUGUCUUGGCUCACAAAUGCAAUUCCCAAAGUUGCCAGUAGAGUAUUGCCAAAGGGCUACACUGCACCUUUAAUGUUUGAAUCUAUUGGAAUACCAUAAUUGUAUAUCGCAUAUUUCACAAGUGUGUACAGAAACAUGUGCCUAAAAUAUAGUUCUAAAAAGGCUCACUUGAAUCUGUAAAAAGAAUCAUUUUUUAUUACAUUUGUGUGUGAGUUGGUGAUGUUUUUGUUUAAAAUGCAUCUAUGGGCGACUGAGCACCCGUAGAGUUAAACAGCAGCAGUAAAUAUUGUUUAAAAAAAAAAAAAAA